UACGGAGGGUGCAAGCGUUAUCCGGAUUCACUGGGUUUAAAGGGAGCGUAGGCGGCGAUUCAAGUGGCGGGUGAAAUCCCUCGGCUUAACCGAGGAACUGCCUGCCAGACUGGAUUGCUUGAGGCCGGGAGAGGUGAGUGGAAUUCCCAGUGUAGCGGUGAAAUGCGUAGAUAUUGGGAGGAACACCAGUGGUGAAGGCGGCUCACUGGACCGGUACUGACGCUGAUGCGCGAAAGCGUGGGGAGCAAACAGG
rnacentral:rRNA from 1 species